ensembl:lincRNA
GUUCCCGCCGGUCAUCCCAGCACUCUGGGAGGCUGAGGCAGGAGGAUCGCGUACGUGUUGCAGCUCAGUCUGGACAAUUUAGCAAUUUAGCGAGACCCUGGGGACUCAGCUCAGCGCGAAGGCCCUGCGUUCCGUCCCUGGUGGGGCCCAGACUGCGUCCCUUUCUGCUGGCCUAAGGGGGAGGAGCAGCCUGGCGGGGCGGGCUCGGCUCCGCUCCCGGGUGGAAGGGGCGCUGACCCCACAAGGCGGCCCCGGGUCACACCCUCCUGCCCCGCAGAGCCGGCUGCAGACGGAGCUGAAGGCGCUGGAGACGGAGAGGGACGAGGCGAGAGCGCAGGGGGCCCGGCUGGGGGUCGAGAACGGGGCGCUGACAGNNNCCCUGGCGCGCUGGGAGGCGGCGGCCACGGAGGCUGCGCGGCAGCGGGAGGAGGCGCAGCAGCGCGCAGGCGCAGCCGAGGCGGAAGGCGAAGCCUGCGCUGCCCGGGAGGUGGUGCUACGCGAGCACGUCUCCGCCCUGGAAGCCGCGCUGAGCACCCCGCGCCGAGGACCCCGGACCCGCUCCGGGUCGCCAUCCCGAUCCCGGCCGCGCGCUCGGCCUGGGUCCUCCCGGCCCUCCCGAGGCUGCCGGCGGCCACCGCGGCGCGUGCGGGGCUGAGCAGCGCAACCACGCGGGGCCCUGCAGAGACAGGCUCGCGGGUGGCCAGCGGGACGACAUCCACGCCCAGCCCCAGACAGCCAGCGCCCGAAGGAGAACUGCACGGAGAGAAGCCUCAGCCUCAGCGCCCUCUCCUCGACCAUCGCUCCUCGGCCCCCCGACGGGGACCCUGAGACCCACCGAGUCCCACGGUGACAUCAGGGCCCGCUUGAGGCUGACCCUAGAAGAAGGGGUCAGCGCAAUCAGGACCCAGAAACAAGAGGUGCACAGAACGCCGGUGCAGUGGCACACACCAGUCAUCCCAGCACUUAGGAGGCUGAGGCAGGAGGGUCGCAGCGAGUUGGAGGCUGGCCUGGGCUUCGUAAGGCGACCCUGCCUCAAAACACACGCACACACCAGAAAUUGAGGUCUGUUUAAAAAAUCCGUGUCCGUCCCUCUGUGAAGUGCAAUAUUAUUCAACCGUUUAAAGGCCCGAGAAGAGCUCGCCCAAAUCCAGCACAUGAAAAGCCCGGAGGGGCCCCCUGUGUACACUCACAGCUCGCGUGGGCUCCGGAGGCUUCUGCCAGGACACCGCGGGAGGAUCCUGGUCACCGGCACGGCUCGCGAGGGAAUCGGGCUUAGGGGCUGGUGGGAGGGUCUCACGUUUCUGCCUAGCCUUUUUUUUGUAUCCUUUUUUAUACAAUUUGCAUUUUAAAAAAAAAAAAUAGCACCUGCAUUGCCUUUUAAAAGUGAAAAAUUUUAAAAGCCUUAAAAAGUCCUGUGAGGCAGGCGCCGGAGGGGAGUGGGCUCCUCUGCUGAUCGACACCCUGCAGCUGUGCCGCCCCGGCCGCACCCGCCCGGGCCUGGGGUGCGGGUCCCGGAGCUCACCCGAGGGCGGGGCUGGCCGGGAGCGAGGGAGGAGGGGAGAAAAAAAGCGCGACCGGACGCUGUGGCGCACCGCUGUCGCCCCAGCACUCGC